ACGACCCGGUCCCCUUGGGGAUCAGGUGAAAGGCUUCGGUCGCCGGAGGAGAGGCUCGCGUCCUAUCAGGUAGUUGGUGGGGUAAAAGCCUACCAAGCCGAUGACGGGUAGCUGGUCUGAGAGGAUGACCAGCCAGAGGGGGACUGAGACACGGCCCCACUCCUACGGGAGGCAGCAGCAGGGAAUCUUGGGCAAUGGGCGAAAGCCUGACCCAGCGACGUCGCGUGGAGGACGAAGGCCUUCGGGUUGUAAACUCCUUUUCCGAGGGAAGAUUUCGGACGGUACCUCGGGAAUAAGCCCCGGCUAACUACGUGCCAGCAGCCGCGGUAAUACGUAGGGGGCAAGCGUUACCCGGAAUUACUGGGCGUAAAGUGCGCGUAGGCGGUUGGAUAAGUCUCUUGUGAAAGCUCCCGGCUCAACUGGGAGAGGUCAAGGGAUACUAUUCGACUAGAGGACAGCAGAGGUAAGCGGAAUUCCCGGUGUAGCGGUGGAAUGCGUAGAUAUCGGGAGGAACACCAGCGGCGAAAGCGGCUUACUGGGCUGUAGCUGACGCUGAGGCGCGAGAGCGUGGGGAGCAAACUGGAUUAGAUACCCAGGUAGUCCACGCCCUAAACGAUGGAUACUAGGUAUGGGGGGUAUUGACCCCCUCCGUGCCGUAGCUAACGCGUUAAGUAUCCCGCCUGGGGACUACGGCCGCAAGGCUAAAACUCAAAGGAAUUGACGGGGGCCCGCACAAGCGGUGGAGCGUGUGGUUUAAUUCGAUGCUAAGCGAAGAACCUUACCUGGGCUUGACAUGUUGGUAGUAGCGCGCCGAAAGGCGUCGCGAUCCCGGGGUAACUCGGGAAGCCUUCACAGGUGCUGCAUGGCUGUCGUCAGCUCGUGCCGUGAGGUGUUGGGUUAAGUCCCGCAACGAGCGCAACCCUCGUCGCUAGUUACACUCUCUAGCGAGACAGCCUCCCGCAAGGAGGAGGAAGGUGGGGACGACGUCAAGUCAUCAUGGCCCUUACGCCCAGGGCUACACACACGCUACAAUGGUCGGUACAAUGAGUUGCCAAAGCGCGAGCUGGAGCCAAUCUCACCAAAGCCGACCCCAGUUGGAAUUGCAGGCUGAAACCCGCCUGCAUGAACGCGGAAUCGCUAGUAACCGCAGGUCAGCAUA
rnacentral:rRNA from 1 species